rnacentral:tRNA from 1 species
GGGGAACGCGUGGCCUAGUGGUAGAGCGCCCGCCUCGGCUGCGGGAGGUUGUGGGUUCGAUUCCCACCGCCACCG